CGGAGGAACAGCCCCAGUGGCGGGGCAGCUCUGGAAACCUGGAUUCAGCUCCGGCAGGAACUCCGGAGCUCUCCAUCUGCAGGGCCUGGAGGCUCCGGACCGGG
rnacentral:pre_miRNA from 1 species